UGGCUGCUAUUGGCUCCAGCGAGGCGUGACUGGGGUAACUUCUAAGACACUUCACCCCCCUUGGGCCUUCGGUUAUCGAGAAAAAGAAAACCACUUGUGUGUGGCUGGUGCCAGGCGUCUGCGAGGCGUUUUCGUCCUACACGCUAGGAAUUUAUAAAUGUGUGUGCAGAGGUUGUCACUUAAGGGGCUUUGAUGCCGAACUUGACCAUCUGGCGAUAUCGUCUUCGCUGAAGAGAAAUUUAUUGAUUAUCUAUACGUGGUUCAAAAAAGGACGGCCAUCAAUAUACAUGUACAUGUACAGUACAAUACGGCGGCAGCGUCUCAGACCAGCUCAAUAAGUAGAGUAUCAAAGAAGCAGCCAUUGUUUUGUAUACAGAAACAUCACAAAAGCAAAAAUAUGCCAUGGACUGCCGAUUUUUGUUCCAGUAACCACAGCAUACACACCAUAAGAAGAGCCAGCUAAUGAGAUGUCAAUAAAUACGUAC
rnacentral:sRNA from 1 species